UCCACAGCUAUAUGCCACUACACUAUCCCACUGUGUCUACUAUCAAUUCUGACCUAAUCUCAUUAGGGAUUGUGUACGCACCCGUCCCGCCUGUCUAAGCCGCGCUACCUCCACGCUAAACAGUCCGUGGAUAGCAACUAAUCAGCGACAUCAACGCGAAAGCACAAAGCCAGACUCCGGAGCGGCACUCGUGGGCACGACCCAACCGAGUAUGCAAGCGUAUCUCUGUCGAGCUCAAUCAGGCUCUCACAGGCUAAAGUCAAGAAAACAGGUCUAACAGUACUACCAACCCCUAGUCACGUGCCCUCGGCACCAUCUGAUAUCGGAACGAUCAAAUCCGGGUCCGCCGUCAACCACUACGACACCCACUAAUCCGGAACACUGUAAACACUAUUGUAAAAAUCGGCUCGGCAUCCUAGCACGAGCGUAACUGAAAUCUGAACUAUCUGGGAUACUCACUAUAAGGAUACUGCAACAGUAUAAAAAUACAACGGCCCCUAGGGCUAAAUCAGGUAGUUCAACAUAUGCCAGGUCCCGAACGCUGGUUUUCUCCUAUGUUUUAUCCAAGUCCCACAUGCAUGAUUAAUAACAACUAAUAACAUGCUCCCAAUUCAGUUUAUACGUCUAAAACAUACCUACUCAUGAAUUUGAGCUAAACAAUAACAACUUGUAAUAUUAACGAUACAUGUCGACCAACAAUACUAUAGGAGUAGGAUUCCGAUGAUAAACCCACCUUGAAUGCUAAAUCCACCCCGGCGCGACGUCGAGAACGGCGAAACCACGCCCUCGCCCGGACUCCUCGCGAUGCUACGACUGCAACCGUAUCCUCGAACGCCUUCGCGGUGCGACGUCGACAUCGAAUCCGAGCUCUGCGGCUACUCCCCCGAGCUCCACCUCGUAUGGUUCUCUACUUCACACUAAAGAGAGAAAGCAAAUUUAAUUAGAGUGCCACCCUUAAGCAGAUAAGUGGAUAAGCAUGCAUGGGGGGGAGUGCACGUGGCAUCCAUAGCCACCCUCAAUCUUCACCGACUAAGUUCUAUAAUAUAUAUAUAUAUAUAUAUAUAUAUAUAUAUAUAUAUAUUAUACUACAUCCUCCCCCAGUACAAAAAGUUUCGUCCUCGAAACUUAACACAUACCUCAACACGGGGCAUCGAACAGGUCNUAUAUAUAUAUAUAUAUAUAUAUAUAUAUAUAUAUAUAUAUAUGUAAGGACUGAGAUUUUGAUAGUGCAAUUAGACUCUCUGUUAAUGAUGUUUAUGUGUGUAAUUUAAUUACAUAAGCAUUCGUCAAGUUUCAGGAGAAAAUGAGUUAGAACGGAGAAGUUACGCGAUUAUUAGUUUUCACUUAAGUGAAUAGUAACUCCGGUUUUCCAGAGAAGCCACGGAGUAGAGUUGGCUUUCGGCGCGUAUCGGACUCCGUUCAUAGCGAUCCAAUAGCUCGUUUCGACCGGUUCAGCUGUUCUGGAACUACUGGCGUUGACGGAUUUUGAGUUUGACGCACGGAUUUCGAGAAAAUCCAAAAAUACGUGUUUUAUAUGUAUUUUGUGCGUAGUUUCUUCUGUUGGAGAGAGGAACGGAUUUCGUUGCGAAUCCGUGAUCGUUCGAGGUGAACCAAAAUCGUAGCUUUGUUGUCUCUAAGGUGCUGAUCGUACUGGUGCGAUCCGUUCGCAAAUUUGACGGACGGAUCUGCGGAGAUCGCGCGUUGAUCGAGGAGAGGUCGGUGUUGGCAAAACGAUAUUUUCGCAAAAGUCGCGACAUUUUAUGUACCGUUUCGCGUGAAAU
rnacentral:lncRNA from 1 species